GGCAAGGUCUCUUCUUGCAGGGAAGGUGCCCAGAUAUCUGGUGUUUGAACCUGCCUCCUGGCAUACGAUGUGUUCCACUCACUAGAGGUCUUAGGAUCCAGUGGGGAAUCCUGUGUGGGCCCUUGCAGUUGUCAGGAGACUCAAAACAUUUCUUUAUAAUUUAUUAUUAGCAAGUGUUUGGUUUGUGUACCUGUUUUCAGGUGAAAAAGGGCCUGGAGGUCACAUAAGGAUUCAGAAGGCCUAGCUUGAAAUUCCCAAGGGAAAACAGAGGUCAUGUGUGUGCAAGAGGAAGGGAGCUGUGAGCUGGUGAUGAGGAGAUAGUGGGGUUGCCAUGGCACUGUGAGUUGGAGAUGAGGAGACAGAGGGGUUGCCCUGGCAUUGUGGCUAGUGAUGAGGAGACAGAGGGUUUGCUCUGGUGCUGUGAGCUGGUGAAGAGGAGAUAGUGGGGUUGUCCUGGUGCUGUGAGCUGGUGAUGGGGAGACAGAGGGGUUACGCUGGCACUGUGAGCUGGUGAUGAGGAGACAGAGGGGUUACUCUGGCACUGUGAGCUGGUGAUGAGGAGACAGAGGGGUUGC
rnacentral:lncRNA from 1 species